UUGCUGCAUGAUCAGUCCUGUCUUUGGCAGCCACGGCUGCCACAAGUGACAGCCUUGAUGAGAACCACGGCAGUAAUUGCUUGUUUAGUCGUAACGUCACAAAGUUUCCGGGUCCAAAGUCACAAAGGCGCUCCUGUUUAAUAUGUUGCAGUGCUGUGUCCCGUGCUGUUUAAAUAGAUCAGAUUUAAAAAAAAAACGUCAGUUGUCAUUUUACUGCUUUCCCUGUGAUGAGAAAGAGAAGAGGAAAUGGCUGCAACUGACAAGUUUCAUUGCAGCUGAUGUAUACAUAAAGCUAUUAUGCUCCCACACCAUGUGAUAUAUGCUACAAUCCAUACAACUGUUUGCUCCAUCACCUAUGGCACAAAGUGUCUGACAGCUUCCGCCGUGAUGAGAAAGCAGUACCUUGCCUCUCUGGAUUUUAAUCAGGUCACCAAUGCACAACUGUCAUGUGCCACCCUGAGAAUCAAGCCAAGGGACAGUUGUCUAGGAAAGCUGUGCUGUAGUGCAUUCUCCAUUAUAUGGCCGUACAUUGGGAGUGUGACACAUCACACUGUAUGCUACAUGGUCAGAGGAGCAGGCACUGACCUUUGUCUGCUGUUAUUGACCCCAUGCCCACCACAUGAAGUUUCCGUAACACAUCACAUUGCUUGCUACAUGUGAAGAAUAAGAUGGGCUGGCCUGUGCCUUAUCUUCAUGUCACUGACACCAUGUUCACCACAUCAAGUUUCUCUGCACCUGUUUUCCUGAUGGGCAAAGUCUUCUCUGAAGGACUUGGACAGUGCGGACAGACUGCAUGAACUAUGCACAGAUACCUGAAGUCAAACCUGCCACAAAUCAUCUCCACACACUAUUGACUGACAGCAAAGGUACCUUGAGUAAAAUGUGCUGUUGCUUCUGGAUGUUUAUUGUUACGUUGUGUCACAGUUUUUUUUUUUUUAGUAUUCAAUCAGUUAUUUCAACUUUUACUCUGCAAUAAUGAAAUAUUAAUAAUGGGUUGUAACUUUAUUGUAUUGGGGAACAUAUUUUAUAAUUUACAGUCAUGAUGUCAUGGUUAAAUUGGUAAAAUAACGAUCCAGCUUUGAUUGUGAUACCUGUGUUGACUUACACUACAUUGUAUAUUCAGAAUAAGAUUGCCAUGUUGGGGGUUGUGGAGUAUAUAUAUCAGUGCCACUAUCACACUUUCUGCUCUUUGUACACUGUUCAUGUAAGAAUGUUUUGCACAUCAUAUGUGAAAUAUUAUGUCAAUUGUGCUGGCUCAACUAUUGUGGUCUCGAUGUACUUCAUCAGCCUCCUCAAACAAUAACACAAAUGUAAAAAUGUGGUUAAGACAAAUGUAGUUAAUUGCAAUUUUAAAAUGUAUAUAAUGUGUUUUCUACUGUGUCUCGACUAAUAAUGAAGAUUACAAUCAUUAUUACAAUCAUCA